rnacentral:rRNA from 1 species
GACGAACGCUGGCGGCGUGCUUAACACAUGCAAGUCGAACGGAAAGGCCCUGCUUUUGUGGGGUGCUCGAGUGGCGAACGGGUGAGUAACACGUGAGUAACCUGCCCUUGACUUUGGGAUAACUUCAGGAAACUGGGGCUAAUACCGGAUAGGAGCUCCUGCUGCAUGGUGGGGGUUGGAAAGUUUCGGCGGUUGGGGAUGGACUCGCGGCUUAUCAGCUUGUUGGUGGGGUAGUGGCUUACCAAGGCUUUGACGGGUAGCCGGCCUGAGAGGGUGACCGGCCAGAUGGGGAAGAAGAUGCGGCCGGGACUGCAACGGGAGGCAGCAGCGGGGAAGAUGGGACAAUGGGCGGAAGCCUGAUGCGGCAACGCCGCGUGGGGGAUGACGGCCUUCGGGUUGUAAACCGCUUUCGCCUGUGACGAAGCGUGAGUGACGGUAAUGGGUAAAGAAGCACCGGCUAGCUACGUG